UCGAGUCGGCCUGCGCGGAAGAUGUAACGGGGCUAAACCAUGCACCGAAGCUGCGGCAGCGACACUAUGUGUUGUUGGGUAGGGGAGCGUUCUGUAAGCCUGUGAAGGUGUACUGUGAGGUAUGCUGGAGGUAUCAGAAGUGCGAAUGCUGACAUAAGUAACGAUAAAGCGGGUGAAAAGCCCGCUCGCCGGAAGACCAAGGGUUCCUGUCCAACGUUAAUCGGGGCAGGGU
rnacentral:rRNA from 1 species